GAUGAACGCUGGCGGCGUGCCUAACACAUGCAAGUCGAGCGAUCUUCUUCGGAAGGGAGCGGCGGACGGGUGAGUAACGCGUGGGUAACCUGCCCUGUACACACGGAUAACAUACCGAAAGGUAUGCUAAUACGGGAUAACAUAAGAAAGUCGCAUGGCUUUCUUAUCAAAGCUUUUGCGGUACAGGAUGGACCCGCGUCUGAUUAGCUAGUUGGUAAGGUAACGGCUUACCAAGGCGACGAUCAGUAGCCGACCUGAGAGGGUGAUCGGCCACAUUGGAACUGAGACACGGUCCAAACUCCUACGGGAGGCAGCAGUGGGGAAUAUUGCACAAUGGGCGAAAGCCUGAUGCAGCAACGCCGCGUGAGCGAUGAAGGCCUUCGGGUCGUAAAGCUCUGUCCUCAAGGAAGAUAAUGACGGUACUUGAGGAGGAAGCCCCGGCUAACUACGUGCCAGCAGCCGCGGUAAUACGUAGGGGGCUAGCGUUAUCCGGAAUUACUGGGCGUAAAGGGUGCGUAGGCGGUCUUUCAAGUCAGAAGUGAAAGGCUACGGCUCAACCGUAGUAAGCUUUUGAAACUGUAAGACUUGAGUGCAGGAGAGGAGAGUGGAAUUCCUAGUGUAGCGGUGAAAUGCGUAGAUAUUAGGAGGAACACCAGUUGCGAAGGCGGCUCUCUGGACUGUA
rnacentral:rRNA from 1 species